UACGAAGGGGGCUAGCGUUGUUCGGAAUUACUGGGCGUAAAGCGCGCGCAGGCGGCUAUCCAAGUCAGUGGUGAAAGCCCGGAGCUCAACUCCGGAACUGCCAUUGAAACUGUUUAGCUUGAGGACGAGAGAGGUGAGUGGAAUUCCCAGUGUAGAGGUGAAAUUCGUAGAUAUUGGGAAGAACACCGGUGGCGAAGGCGGCUCACUGGCUCGUUUCUGACGCUCAGGCGCGACAGCGUGGGGAUCGAAACAGG
rnacentral:rRNA from 1 species